UACAGAGGUCUCAAGCGUUGUUCGGAUUCAUUGGGCGUAAAGGGUGCGUAGGUGGCGCUGUAAGUCGGGUGUGAAAUUUCGGAGCUUAACUCCGAAACUGCAUUCGAUACUGCGGUGCUUGAGGACUGGAGAGGAGACUGGAAUUCCUGGUGUAGCGGUGGAAUGCGCAGAUAUCAGGAGGAACACCGGUGGCGAAGGCGGGUCUCUGGGCAGUAACUGACGCUGAGACGCGAAAGCGUGGGGAGCAAACAGG
rnacentral:rRNA from 1 species